AAGCUCAAAUUUGAAAUCUGCCAACAGGCCGAGUUGUAAUUUGUAGAUGGCUACACUGCAUAAUAGUAGAUGCUCAAGUUCUUUGGAAAAAGACAUCAUGGAGGGUGACAAUCCCGUGAGGCAUGUUACUAGGAGCAUAUAGUGGGCUUUCUAAGAGUCGAGUUGUUUGGGAAUGCAGCUCAAAGUGCGUGGUGAAUACCAUGUAAAGCUAAAUAUGGACGAGAGACCGAUAGCGAACAAGUACUGUGAAGGAAAGAUGAAAAGCACUCCGAAAGGAGAGUGAAAUAGUACGUGAAAUUGUUAAAGUGGAAGGGCUUGAGAUCAGAAUUGGUAGUUUGGGUUCCACGUCCUCUUGGGGGCGUGUACUCCCUUUCCACCGGGCCAGCGGGAGUUUCGUCUCUUGGGUAAAAGCAGUGGAAUGUAGCAGCUUGUCUGUAUUAUAGCCUCUGUUCAUACAAGACGUCGAGACUUGAUUUGUUGGCGUAAUGAUCUCUAGCCACCCGUCUUGA
rnacentral:rRNA from 1 species